UUGGCUUUGCUAAUAUUGCCUCAUGUUGUGCAAACUUUGCAGGCUGUAUUUAUGGGAAGGCACUGCAGCCAGGCUUUGCAGGGUGGGGAAAUGGAGCUGAGCCCUUUUGGAACCACGAGGGUGAACCAUUGGUUGCUUUUUAAAACUCAAAAACAAUAGCAGCUCUUCAGCUUCAAAUUCACCUGCAGAGCAGCUCAGGUAGAGGUGUGAUGUGUAAGGGCUCUGCUGGGCUAACUGGGCUUGGCACUGCCUUCCUCUGUGGCAAAACCUGCCCUUAAUAGUACAGACUUCAACAAAAUCCUUUUCUCUUAAUCGCUCCCAAACGCAGUAAAUAUUUCCAAAGGAUUGAAUGAUAUAAAAUCAAACAUGACAGACAAAAUCCUGCUGUUCUGAAGACAAUUUUAGAGAUGUUUUGUGCCCAAAGAGACCCUUUUGAAUACUGUCAGACCUCCAGAAUGUUCUCAUUAAUCCUGCUACUGCAGGACCUGUGAGCUCUGGUCAAGUGCUUUGAUCUACUGUGCAAAGACAUGAAGACACAACCCAGCCCGAGGCAGGCUGCAAUUAAACCAAGAUGAGAGACAAUUUAGGGACACAGGCAAGCCAGCAGGGCAGUCAAGGUAACUCUGAUCAUCCAGCCAAGCUGUGCCUCAGUAAAAUCUUUCGAUAUUAGACUAACAACAACAGUGGAAAAGACUGGACCUGUCCCUUGUGCAAUGAGAGGAGGUCUGGAGCUUAAACAGAGCAGGAAGAGAGGGAAGGAAUCAAAGAAAGGACUCCAUGGAAGAGGACUCUCCUCAGGAAGAAAGGAAGCAUCAUCCUUUGAUUACAGCAAAGAGAAAUCUGGAAAUAUAUCAGUGCAACACAGAGAUAACCACCCCUCUUCUCCCCUGUGCCACACACUAGUCUCAUCUUGCUUGCAAUCUUAAGGAUUAAUUAAUGCUGCACUGGCUCUGCUCAUCCCAAAGCCUGGUGGUAACAGAAGGUAUCAAACAAACUGCUGGUCUCAAAUGGAAAAGAAAUAUUUUAAUGGCUUGAGUUUCCAUUGUGUGAGCAUGAAGUAAAUAUGCUUUAUUUCUUUUGUAUCUAGCAGGAAGCAUAUGGAAGUGGAAUUACAUUUGUCCCAGCCUGGCAGUAUUUUAAAUUUACAGAACCCAAAUCCUUGGAGGAAUGUCAUGAAUUUACACUCACUCUCAAUGCUAACACUUGCACUGGGGUCUUUAGGGCGCUGGAUCCAUGUGCAAAAGCACAUUUGUGCAAACAGCUCUUAGGAGCCAGUGCAGCUUAACGCCUCUGAGAUCAGUUUUACCCAGGCCAGGCUCAGAUCAGAAGCUCCCCACUCCAUCCCAUCAGGGACAUCUCCUCUGAGGCCCUGUCAGCACCGAGUACAAAAUUCUUCCCUUUAUCAGGGUACAUCACCUUGGGUGCAACAAGAACGCGUUCCAGGCUGUAUUAUCUAUUAAGGCACAAAUCUUUCUCAUCUGGUCUUUUUAUUUGAUGCCAAAAUUCACCCCUAAGAAGCAUCAGUCAUUGCCCAGUCCAUCCUAGAAUAACAGAGCAGUUUAUCUCAGCAGGCUGAUGAAAACUUCCCACUUCAAACUAUUACAUUUUCAUUAGAGCUGCUUGACUUUAUUCAGUGACUUCCCCAAGCAAUACAAGCUGAUUUGUAUGUAGAACUAACUUUUGUUUAUCAGCAAUAUCUCCUGAUACAACUCAUCAACAGCAACAUUACAAAUUACACCUAUUCCUAUCACAUUAGAGCUUAAAUCUAAUAUUUUUCUUUCCAAAUUAACCCCAAAUGCCUGCACAUACUGCCACCCUACAGGACUUUGGAAAGGUAAGCUGGGGAGCUGCAGGAGGACUGAAUUCUCCCCUAAUGAGUGCAGGGUUGGAGGGUGACCUUGCAUGUCCUGGUGUGGGAUGGAUCUGUGGGGUCUGGCACAGCAGGAGGAGCUGGAGCCAUCCUCACCUUCCCCACCUUUCACUGCUUUAGCAGAAGGUGCAGGAGGAGCUGGAGCAUCCUCCCCUUGCCCAGACUUUAGCAGAAGGUGCAGGAGGAGCUGGAGCAUCCUCACCUUGCCCAGACUUUAGCAGAAGGUGCAGGAGGAGCUGGAGCAUCCCCACCUUGCCCAGACUUUAGCAGAAGGUGGCAGUGUUGGAUCCACCAUCGCCUCCAGCCCCGGCCCAGCCUCCCCGAGCAGCAGCUGCCAGCACAAAUGCAGCCUCAAUAAAGACAAAUUACACAUCAAUUAGCCAUCAUUCAUGUCGGGAGCCCGUCAGGUGGCUGCAGCCAAAAUCCUUCCCACAGAAAUAGCUGCUUUGUUAGAAACACCUAAACCUGCUUUGUUGGAAGUACCCAAAUGCAGUGCUGGGGACACAGGGACACACAGGCUCGUGCCAAAGCACAUGCCCUGGGCAUCAGGCUCUCUGCUGGGCUGGCUGGAGAUUUUCCAGCAUAAAUCUGAUGAAUUACAGGACAACAAUUCCAGCCCAUGUCCAGAGGGACGUUUUCAGCCCUGGGACACGUCAUGGGAAAUGGGAGAUGCCGUGUUGGACCCUGUGAGUGCCAAGUGCCAGGAGGAGGAGGAGGGCUGAUGUGCUCACAGUUAUGAAGAAUUUCAGUCACAGCAAAAGUGCUGCAGCCUCUCGAGGGCUCAGACAAGUUUUGGUUACACUGCAGGGUGCAGACAGAUGUGUGUGUGCUCUGCCUGGGCGCCAGCUCGAGCCUGGGAAGUUUGUGAGCACACUGCAAAGGGCCUCACCUUGGGGUACUGUAAAUGCAGGCGAACCCAGCGGGAAGAAAUGAUGAUGUCUGACUCAAUUCAGAAGGCUGAAUGAUUUCUUUAUUAUAACUAUGCUAAAAUACAUUAAUAUACUAUAUAAAAGGAGGAUACUAAAACUACAUACUACUUUCUCUGACUCUAACCCAACUUGUGAGAGUCCAGCCCCAGUGGGGUUGGAUUGGCCAUCAGCUCAAACAAUCCUCACCAGAAUCCAACCAAGCACUCACCCCAGGGAAACAAUUCUCCAAACACAUUCCACAUAGGAAAAACAAGGAGCAGAAGCAGAAAUUGUUUUCUCUUUCAUUUCUCUCCGUGCACCUCUAUGAAGAAUCCUGAGAGGGAGAGAAAUGUGCUUGCCACAUUGGGGAAUUAACCCAAAUGCAUUAUUUUGGCCACAACUUAAAAUCUACCUGUCCCAACCACUUCAGAUACCUUCACACGAGGUGGAUGGUGCAGCAGAUUCAGGAGCAUCUUUAGCAAAUGAGAGACAUGUUCCUGAGGGAAUUAAGCCUGGUAACUGCUAAUUGAGCUGUGUUUAGGUAUUCCCAAAACCCCGAGCCCAGACUGACCUGGCACAGUCGGUGCCAAAAUCCACACAGGAUCCAGGGUUUGCUCAGAACCUGAGAAUUUUCCCUCCCAUCCCAGGACAUCACGUCCAGGUGGGGAACUUGUGCCUCCCAGCCCAUCAGACAGAGCAAAGCUCACCCUCUGCUCUCCAGCCCAGUGGAAAUGCUGCAGGAAAUAUCUGCUCCUGGGUGACAGGCAAACAAUCUGCCUCAGACAGGAAACACAACGCCAGCUGAUUCAGGGCUUUUUAGCAUAUGAAUGUGUAAAUUUGCUGUGACAGGUGGGGCGUUUCAAUGACUUUCAAUGGAGAGCCAACUGCUCCUCGGUUAUCAUUAGAAAUUUCUCACUGAAAUGC
ensembl:lncRNA